GACGAACGCUGGCGGCGUGCCUAUUACAUGCAAGUAGAGCGCUGAAGGAGGAGCUUGCUUCUCUGGAUGAGUUGCGAACGGGUGAGUAACGCGUAGGUAACCUGCCUGGUAGCGGGGGAUAACUAUUGGAAACGAUAGCUAAUACCGCAUAAGAGUAGAUGUUGCAUGACAUUUGCUUAAAAGGUGCAAUUGCAUCACUACCAGAUGGACCUGCGUUGUAUUAGCUAGUUGGUGGGGUAACGGCUCACCAAGGCGACGAUACAUAGCCGACCUGAGAGGGUGAUCGGCCACACUGGGACUGAGACACGGCCCAGACUCCUACGGGAGGCAGCAGUAGGGAAUCUUCGGCAAUGGACGGAAGUCUGACCGAGCAAUGCCGCGUGAGUGAAGAAGGUUUUCGGAUCGUAAAGCUCUGUUGUAAGAGAAGAACGAGUGUGAGAGUGGAAAGUUCACACUGUGACGGUAUCUUACCAGAAAGGGACGGCUAACUACGUG
rnacentral:rRNA from 1 species